rnacentral:rRNA from 1 species
UACGGAGGAUGCGAGCGUUAUCCGGAUUUAUUGGGUUUAAAGGGUGCGUAGGCGGGAUGCCAAGUCAGCGGUAAAAAUGCGGUGCUCAACGCCGUCGAGCCGUUGAAACUGGCGUUCUUGAGUGGGCGAGAAGUAUGCGGAAUGCGUGGUGUAGCGGUGAAAUGCAUAGAUAUCACGCAGAACUCCGAUUGCGAAGGCAGCAUACCGGCGCCCUACUGACGCUGAAGCACGAAAGCGUGGGUAUCGAACAGG